AUGUUUCUUCUUCUGACUUACUGGAUUAUUACAGGUAUCACAGCAGAAGAUGUGACAGGGGUUUAUUAUCAGCUGGAAAACAGCUCCGUAUGUCUGCAUGUAAAACACCCUCCACCGCAUUUUGGAGCUCAUUGGCUUCUGCCAGGAACAGGACCAAAAAGGGAUGGUGUUUCUGAAAAGGGCAUGAACUCUACAUUAAAAAACAAAGUGGAUUAUGAUUCUGAAAACAAUUCUUUGUGUAUUAAAAACCUGACCAACGCAGACAGUGGCAUUUAUGAAUUCAAUUUCAUUGACUCGUUUUCUUAUAUAAAUGAGAAGUACAGAAUCAUUGUUCAAGGUCAGGUUCCUAGACCUGUCGUAGUCAUGUCAGAGCUGGACACCAACACGUCUGCUGGGAUGUGCAACAUCUCAGUCAACUGCUCCAUCCGGAGCGAGUGGCUGUGGUCCUUCUGCGACGCCGACGCGUGCAGGACGGCGCAGGCGUCACUGAGCGAGGUCAACAUCAGCAUCAGCAUCGGCAUCAGCAUCACCGGCAACAGGACGGUCGUCUGCAGUGGCAACAACAGAGUCAGCACAAAAAGUGUUUUCAGAAGAAUUCCAUCAACGUGCCACAGUCAUUUUAAGAAGCCUGAACCCAAAGAUCCAGAUCAACAGCUUCUUCUCACAUUAUUAGUUAUAGCAGUUUGCCUUUUUCUACUUGUAUUUAUCGUCUUUAUAACUAAAAAGCUGUUGUUACUGAAGCUUGAUCAGACAUCCACUACUCAUUUAAUUGAGAACCAGCAGGCAGAGUCUCCGACACAACGGGAGCCCCGAGUCUCUACCUCCUCAUCCGUCGCCUAUGAGAACGUAGACGCCAUCCAUCCCAGUGAGACCAGCGGCACGAGAGAGGAGCCCGGCUCCACGCACGGCCCUGCGGUGAACACGGUCUACAGCGUUUUACAGCCGACCAAACGGAAACCUUCUCAGGGGACGGGCGACGACUGCAAAGUUAGCACAGGACCACAGGAAGCGCAGGUGGCAUCAGCUUCACAGGGCGAGCAGCCCCUGCAAGUCGACACAGUGUACAGCAUGCUGCAAAGGCCCCGACAUAAACAGUAGAACAGAAACCUGGGGAAUCAUGGGAACAUUGAUGCAAAAGAAUAAAAAGAUGCUUGAAGAUGAGUUCA
rnacentral:lncRNA from 1 species